GAUCAUUAGUGAAAGUUUCGGGCCUGCCAUACGGACGCAAACACGUCUCUGGCGCCCAUCACUAUAUCCAUACCAACCCCUGUGCACUGUGAUGACGAAUGUCAUCGAACAAAAAAAAACUCGUAUGGUUGAAUGUACGUGAAAUUGUAGGUAUAGCCUACGAACUAUACACAACUUUCGACAACGGAUCUCUUGGUUCUCCCAUCGAUGAAGAACGCAGCGAAACGCGAUAGGUAAUGUGAAUUGCAGAAUUCCGUGAAUCAUCGAAUCUUUGAACGCACCUUGCGCUCCAUGGUAUUCCGUGGAGCAUGCCUGUUUGAGUGCCGCGAAUUCUCCCUCCCCUUACGGUGGCCGAAAGGCCGAAGUAGGGCGGACGGGGUAGGAUGGGUGUUUGCUGCCUGGGGAUUGUACCAGGCUCGCCCGAAAUGCAUAAGCGCCAGGACCCUCGCUACCGCUCUCUAGGGAAGAGUGGCUAAGCGACCGCUGAGCAUGGCAUGAUACGUCAUUUGCUGUGUGUGGGCGGCCGGUUGGAGAGGUGUCUGCUUUACCAGCCCUAUUUUAAUUCUGGUCUCAAAUCAGGUAGGAUCACCCGCUGAACCUAAGCAUAUCAAUAA
rnacentral:misc_RNA from 1 species